rnacentral:rRNA from 1 species
GCAGCAGUGGGGAAUAUUGCACAAUGGGGGAAACCCUGAUGCAGCGACGCCGCGUGAGUGAGGAAGUAUUUCGGUAUGUAAAGCUCUAUCAGCAGGGAAGAAAAUGACGGUACCUGACUAAGAAGCCCCGGCUAACUACGUGCCAGCAGCCGCGGUAAUACGUAGGGGGCAAGCGUUAUCCGGAUUUACUGGGUGUAAAGGGAGCGUAGACGGAUAAGCAAGUCUGAUGUGAAAAUCCGGGGCUCAACCCCGGAAUUGCAUUGGAAACUGCAUAUCUAGAGUGUCGGAGAGGCAAGUGGAAUUCCUGGUGUAGCGGUGAAAUGCGUAGAUAUCAGGAGGAACACCAGUGGCGAAGGCGGCUUGCUGGACGAUGACUGACGUUGAGGCUCGAAAGCGUGGGGAGCAAACAGGAUUAGAUACCCUGGUAGUCCACGCCGUAAACGAUGACUACUAGGUGUCGGGAGGCAAAGCCUUUCG